rnacentral:piRNA from 1 species
AGCAUGUGACAACACGAACCGUUGCUGGUA